CGUCAAAUCAUCAUGCCCCUUAUGACCUGGGCUACACACGUACUACAAUGGCCGGUACAACGGGAAGCGAAGUGGCGACAUGGAGCAAAUCCUUAAAGCCGGCCUCAGUUCGGAUUGGAGUCUGCAACUCGACUCCAUGAAGCCGGAGUCGCUAGUAAUCGCGGAUCAGCAAAGCCGCGGUGAAUACGUUCUCGGGGAUU
rnacentral:rRNA from 1 species